ACGGAGGGUGCGAGCGUUGUUCGGAAUUACUGGGCGUAAAGGGCGCGUAGGCGGCCUGAUAAGUCAGAUGUGAAAGCCCACGGCUCAACCGUGGAAGUGCAUCUGAAACUGUCUGGCUUGAGUAUUGGAGAGGAAAGUGGAAUUCCUGGUGUAGAGGUGAAAUUCGUAGAUAUCAGGAGGAACACCGGUGGCGAAGGCGACUUUCUGGACAAAUACUGACGCUGAGGCGCGAAAGCGUGGGGAGCAAACAGG
rnacentral:rRNA from 1 species